AUGAAGAAAUAUAACAAUUACAUGCCUCCUUCCUAUUCCUGUAACUGGUCAUGUGGUCAUAGCUGGUAUUUAUAACUUUCUUCUUCCACUACCUAUUCGGUAUUCCCUCUGCGCUCAGCAAGCACCUCGGCUAAUCAUGGUUCUUUACCUCGCAGAGUGAAUCAAACCUUCAUUCCUGAAGGGUCUGGCCCAUUAGUAGUCUUGCCUGAAUUGGAUGUUAAAGUCUUCUAUUGACUUCAAUCACAGGACAAGCCGCUCCCCAUUGCUCGCAUCACCGCCUGAGCUCCACCACCUGUCAGGUCAGCGGUGGGAUGAGUUCGAGGAAAGCAAGCUCAGGGCUUCCCACUGAUUCUGCAUUAUGACACCUCCUUCCUCACCCCCACUGUGGAGUAGCAGUCCAAUUUCUUCUUGGUAAUCACAACAAAUCACUCCAGCGAGUAGAGCAACUCCUUUCUUUGCCUGUUGAUUCAGAGGUAAGAAGAGCCCAACGUGGCCUGGUGGCAGCCUUAACUUCCAGUCCAGUGGAAUCAUUGUUUUAUCUCCCAGAAGAAGCAUUCUUCCCUUUGGGACAAAGGCCCAGAGACCAGCAGAGCAUAAGGUCGUGGGGAAAGGAAACAGAAAUUAUGUUUAUGCAGAUCCAGUAAGAUUCUAGAAGGCUGACGAUCUAUCUAUUUCACUCCUAGAAACACCAUGAUCAACUAGCCAACACCACAGGUCUCUACAGGUCAGGCUCUUCUGCUUUGUGCUGUCCCUGAGAGCAACCACGCCCACUUUCCAGUUGACAAUUAAGUGCCUUCCCUUGGCCCCUGCCACCCUGGGACCCAAUCAUCUCCA